CGUGGGAGCGACAGCUACUGAAUCACAAGUAUAAGUGUCACUUGUGAUGUCGUAAGGGAAAAAAAUGAUACUACCUUACUAUGAGUGUCGUCCAAAAGCUGGUGCCAGAAGACUCGGUAAGGCCAGAGACGCAAACGUUAAUCAUCUUAAACAGGCGUAAAGGGUAAGUAGGCCGCUUUAAAUUAAUUAAAGCUAGAAUCAAGAAGGGGUUGAACUAUAUAAUACCUAGAGGAGUGUUAAAAUCUGUAGAUCCUAGGUGGAAUACUAACGGCGAAAGCUUUUCAUCCAAGUAAUGAUUGACGCUGAGGAACGAAGGGGAGGGCAGGAAACAGGAUGUGCGACUUGCUAAGCUUAAACAUUGUAUUGUAUUUAAAAUACAUUAUUUUUCGUCUAAUAAUAGCCAACCUAGACAUGCUUGUACCAGUAAUGGUCUAGUAUGAAGCUCUAGGGUAAAAUUAAGAGGGCUAUCUACCCUAUGCUGUAUUUUUUUAAUACAGCUAUUAAUGAAGGCUGAUUUCUAUGGUUAGGGAAACCGAACUUAUGUUAAUAAAGUAUAUUAAUUAGGCAACUAAUCGUCCUGGUUAGUUUGAAGACGAACAGAAAGUUAAUAUAACAAAGUAAGAACCUAAGGAAAUCUGUUGUACAUGUUUAGGAACAAGGUAAUGCCUAUAACUUGCAAUAAAUAUUGCUAGCUUAUACGUGAGUAUAAGUAUUUAGUUAGAGGUAAUAUGAUUAGGAAAAAGCAAAUGCCAGUUUGUAAUAAAUUGGAUAGGGCAAUUUUUGCCUAACCUGAAAGGGUGCCCACUUCCUAAGGUGAUAUUCCACAGCCCAAUCUUUUUAAUUAACUACGCACCGGUAAAUUUUACCGGCUAUAAUUUUCUUGCAUUACCAAUUGUUUA
rnacentral:rRNA from 1 species